UCGUAACAAGGUUUCCGUAGGUGAAACUGCGGAAGGAUCAUUG
rnacentral:rRNA from 1 species